ACACUGAACAUUGAGCCUUGAUGUGUAGGAUAGGUGGGAGGCUUUGAAGUGUGGACGCCAGUCUGCAUGGAGCCGACCUUGAAAUACCACCCUUUAAUGUUUGAUGUUCUAACGUGGACCCGUGAUCCGGGUUGCGGACAGUGUCUGGUGGGUAGUUUGACUGGGGCGGUCUCCUCCUAAAGAGUAACGGAGGAGCACGAAGGUUGGCUAAUCCUGGUCGGACAUCAGGAGGUUAGUGCAAUGGCAUAAGCCAGCUUGACUGCGAGCGUGACGGCGCGAGCAGGUGCGAAAGCAGGUCAUAGUGAUCCGGUGGUUCUGAAUGGAAGGGCCAUCGCUCAACGGAUAAAAGGUACUCCGGGGAUAACAGGCUGAUACCGCCCAAGAGUUCAUAUCGACGGCGGUGUUUGGCACCUCGAUGUCGGCUCAUCACAUCCUGGGGCUGAAGUAGGUCCCAAGGGUAUGGCUGUUCGCCAUUUAAAGUGGUACGCGAGCUGGGUUUAGAACGUCGUGAGACAGUUCGGUCCCUAUCUGCCGUGGGCGCUGGAGAACUGAGGGGGGCUGCUCCUAGUACGAGAGGACCGGAGUGGACGCAUCACUGGUGUUCGGGUUGUCAUGCCAAUGGCACUGCCCGGUAGCUAAAUGCGGAAGAGAUAAGUGCUGAAAGCAUCUAAGCACGAAACUUGCCCCGAGAUGAGUUCUCCCUGAGACUUAGAGUCUCCUGAAGGAACGUUGAAGACGACGACGUUGAUAGGCCGGGUGUGUAAGCGCAGCGAUGCGUUGAGCUAACCGGUACUAAUGAACCGUGAGGCUUAACCUUACAACGCCGAAG
rnacentral:rRNA from 1 species